GUGGGGAAUAUUGCGCAAUGGGGGAAACCCUGACGCAGCGACGCCGUGUGAGGGAAGAAGGCUUUCGGGUCGUAAACCUCUGUCAGAAAGGAAGAACCUCCCAAGUCCGAAUAGGGCUUGGGACUGACGGUACUUUCAAAGGAAGCACCGGCUAACUCCGUGCCAGCAGCCGCGGUAAUACGGAGGGUGCAAGCGUUAAUCGGAAUCACUGGGCGUAAAGCGCGCGUAGGCCGCUUUGUAAGUCGGACGUGAAAGCCCUCGGCUCAACCGGGGAACUGCGUUCGAUACUGGGAUACUUGAGUCCUGGAGAGGGUGGCGGAAUUCCGGGUGUAGGAGUGAAAUCCGUAGAUAUCCGGAGGAACACCGGUGGCGAAGGCGGCCACCUGGACAGGUACUGACGCUGAGGCGCGAAAGCGUGGGGAGCAAACAGGAUUAGAAACCCGGGUAGUCC
rnacentral:rRNA from 1 species